rnacentral:lncRNA from 1 species
AAAUAUUCUAGCAUAAAUAUAAAAGAAAAUCAGAGAUGGGAAAGAUUGACUCACGAGAGAUUGGAGAGGUAGAUUCACACAGUGAUAGUGCAAGCAGCUUGCUUCUAAUUAAAUAUGCGACUGAGUCUCAAUGCAUUUGCUUUCAGCCGCAGAGAGAAGAAGCUGCCCAAGAAUGGAAAGGAAGAAAUAUAUCACAUCAUCUGUCUGUCCACAGGCUUUCCUUGGGGCUUAUGAAGAUUUCCUCGUGGCAGUGAUUCUUCUUCACCCCUUUGAAUUCAGAAGGAUGGCAUAGAUGCCUUCAAAAUAGUAAGUAAUGUGUGAUUUUUUUUUUCAAUUACUGUUAAUAGUUAAACAUAGUAAAGCUGAAAUUCAGUUUUUGGAGUAGUUUGGAAUCAGCAUGC